rnacentral:rRNA from 1 species
UACGGGGGGGGCAAGCGUUGUUCGGAAUUACUGGGCGUAAAGGGUUUGUAGGUGGCCCGCUAAGUCACACGUGAAAUCCCUCAGCUUAACUGGGGAACUGCGUGUGAGACUGGCAGGCUCGAGGGCAGGAGAGGACGCGGAAUUCCAGGUGUAGCGGUGAAAUGCGUAGACUAUGUGAGGAAUACCGGUGGCGAAGGCGGCAUCCUGGACCGGCAUUGACUCUGAGGAGCGAAAGCGUGGGGAGCAAACGGG